rnacentral:piRNA from 1 species
AGCUGUGACACUUAGUAUUCAGUUGGUU